GCGUGUAGGGCCGGGAAGAGUCUGUGUGUCACUUACAAGCAUGUGAACAACACUUGACAUUGUAGGUCUGUCUGCUGCAUCUUCUUGUACACACAAUAGUGCAAUCUGUAUACACUUCAGAUAUUCAUCAGACCAAUGUUAAAUGAAGUGCAAAUAUGAGGUGAAUUCAAAGAAAAAGAAAUAAAAACCAUACCUUGUUGAGGCACAGGAGCAUUAGAAACUGUAUCAUUUAUAAAAAACGGCUGAGUUUCAUACAUCAUAAUACAACUUGGAGAAAAAACUCUCCACACUUUCUUCUCCUCGCAACAAUUCUCAACAUCCUCGAGCAUAUUACUCAAACAAGUUCCGCAUUCCUCACUAGUAAUAUCUCUACUACACUGCACCCAACCGUACCGUCUCUGAGUACCAUUUAUGUUAAACAUAUGCAUACCAAACAUCAAAGGUGUCUGUGACCCCAUUUGUAUCAAACCGUUCAUCAAAAUCCUCGCAUCACUAUCAAAUUCACCAGCACUAGUCAAAUUCUGUGUUGCAUCAAACAUAGGAAUCCUUGGUCUUAUAGUAAGGUUACCGAAGAAGUUCUGAUUCGAGUACCUCAGAAGACAAAAAGGGUACCACAAAAUUGCUGAAGCAUUAUUAGGACAGUGUUGUUUCAACAAUCUGCUAGAGUUUUGGACACAUGAAUGACAGAGACUUGUAUUAACAUCGCCGCGACACAGAGGGAGCAAUAGAAGAUUGGUCCAAACAAGCAUAUCUAUAAUCAAGUAGCUCUUGUGAAUUGGUGUUGUUUUGGCCUACAACAAAAUAGAAAAGAUACUGCCUCAUAGGGCUGGGCAGCGGAUCGAGCGGUACGAGGCCAAAACCCCAAACGGACCCAACCGGGUGAAUAAGGUUGAUCCAAUUCUGACCGGAUUAAUAAUUCGGGUUUAUUUGGGUUUGGGUUUCUAGUUUGGUUUUCUCGAGCUUAAUAGAAUUGGGUCCAAAUGGAAAUAAUACAAUUUCUUGAUUUAACUUCCCCACCAAAUUAUACUUGACACUCCUCAUACUUUCAUACUGUCCAAGCUGCCUCUAGCUGAAAAUUGAAUGAAAAUUCCGAAUGAAAUUAUACUUGACAUUUUUCUUUUAUUUUACUUUAACAUUCUUGUAUUUGGAAGUAUAGAGAACGCGGAGAAAUACUUGACAUUUUUCUUUUAUUUUACUUUAACAUUGUAUUUGGAAGUAUAGAGAACGCGGAGAAAGGAAGUCAUUUAAUGGGAAAGGGAGAAGAGGACUUUUCAUUUAUGUAUGAAAGUUUAUUAUAUAAAAUAUUUGUUA